CUCGGUAGCUGGCUAAAGAAUUCCCCAAUUUUAGGGCGUUCCUGAUCUGUCCCCUUUUUGGGCUGUAAUUUCAGAUUUCCGAGUCAUUAGAAGUUUUUAUUGAUAAUGCACAAGCUGUUUAUUUUAGAGGAAAAAAGAAAGGGCACCCAGCCCCGGCUCCAUUUUCCAUUAAAAUGAAACCAAACAUUCCAUAUAGCGCAUGAGCACGCAGCUGCAAGUCAAGCUCUGUUUUCAAGCUCCAGGCGCAAUCCUGAGCUAGAUGCCGUCUUCAAUCGAUCCGCGGGAGGAUUCCUCCGCAUGCUUUGCCUGCCCAACAAUGGAGGCUUCCCAUCCAGCGGCAUCUUCAGAAGCCGGCAAUCCUGACAGAGACGAAGGCCUCAACCGACGCCCCAUCAGCCCGGAUCCGGCCACAGCUGUAGAGUUGGGCUCAUGGCAAGCGCCCAGAGUGAAGCUGUGAUCUCCAGCACGCGCUCUUUUGCAGGGCCAGGGCCAGACCACAAGAUUGCCCACUGAGAGAACACUACUGCUAUGCCUCUCAGGAUCACCUGCACACCAGUCCAUGAACUUCUGUUAAAAACAGAGUUCAUUCCUAUAUUUCCACAGACUAUAGAGUUGCUGCAUGAAACUAGGUUGAUUGUCUGGUGUUUUUUGUGACUGAUCCACCACUUUGCAAUGUACCUCAAAGUUCACAGUAGUGUUAACCCAGUGAGGGUACUAAUAUUUCUCCGCACCUUAGUGGCUUUCUCCGCACCUUAGUGGCAACAGCACAGGCAAAGAAUGAGCGCAUACAGGCAUCUUCAUUACAGAAUAGGCAGGAUAAAUUGUCAAGAUUUUGCCUUUUAGCUAGGUUAUCUCUAGUGAGCAACUUAUUAUGAGGUAAAAGCCAAAGAAAAAUAUGGAUUUUAGGAGGAACAUUAAGUUGCCAAACAGCAGGAAUAUGAACAGGGACGACCCCCCUCACAACAGCAUAUAAAGACCGACAGAGUAAAUACCAUUGGAUUCAAGCUUCCAAAUCACAGCAUCGGCAUCAGUAUUAAGCCGAAUAGACUCAGCAAUAUGAACAAAGUCAAACCACUGGAGGAGCAAUCUGUUGUCCACACACCUUCUAAAAGUAAUCCUAAGGUUAACACCAUCCCAUGUAUCAGCAAUAGUGAUGUGGCUAUUGUACUAAUUACAGAAUAAUACACGGCCUGUAUGUGGCUAGUGUACUAAUUUAUAGUUUUUUUUUUCUAACUUAGGGUCCGUUUCGAUUGUUAAAAGUUUGUGUUAAUUGAGCUGAAACCUACUGUUCAUGGAGUUCAAAGCUCAGCUUCUUUCUCCUCCAACACGAAAUCUCAAAUUUCAUGGUUGAAAGUUCCUAUUCUGUCAGCUGGAAGUUGAAAUCAUGUCGCAUGAGUUUGCUGUUGAAAUCUUUUCUUUACUGAGUUGAAAGGUUUUUAAGACAAACAGGCAUAUGCCCUGCUUUAUACUACCUCCGUUUUGAAAACUGACGUGGUUUUAGUUCAAAUUUGAACUAAAGCCACGCCAGUUAUUUCCGAAUGGAGGGAAUACUAGAAAGCAAACUUUUUUUUUUUGGUCUUCUGGGACACCAGGACAUUCUUGCUCCUGAAGCAAACAGUAGCAAAACAAGAAAGCACACAACACCCAACUUAAGAAGGACCAACAAGCACUCCAACUGUCCCACAUAAGAUAGAGAUAAACUCAAAGCUCCCCACAACUCCAUACAAGUACUCCCUCCGUCCCAAAAUAAGUCUCAACUUUAGUACAACUUGUACUAAAGUUAGGACAAAGUUGAGACACUUAUUUUGGGACGGAGGGAGUAUCAUACAGAGCAGAAUCCUAGGCAUACCAAGAACACAAACCACUAAGCUGAAAGUUGUCACAUGGAGUGUUCUUUUUUUACCCAUUUUCUCCUACAGUGGCAGAUUGCGGGAGACAGAAGAGGAUGGAGUGAACAGGGAGCCAUCACACCUUUUCCGUUUUUAAGCCUGAACCAGUGAGUUUAAGUGCUUCUGAUAAAAUCCAAAAGAUGUUGGGACUCAUUCAUUCAAAGUUCACAAAUUAGGCUCCCUGUUUCUCACUCCAUCGUGUUCUCUGUCCCACGGUGGCCUCUUUAGCUCCCUCUAUUGUUGUUGUGUUCGAAAGAAGGGUGACGAUUUUUCUUGGGCCAUGGCUCCUUGUGUGAGAGGCGGUGGAGGAGGCAUGAGACCUCUCCGCCUGCCCCAUAUCAUACUCCUGUCCAGGUCACCCUGGAGACAUCGAUAUUUCUCGGUUCAAGUGUGCCUCAUGUCCACUCAAGCCUGUUGCUGACCUUCCAUCAUCCUGCAGCCCUGCAUCUCAUCAUCCUCUUCAGUUUAUAACUGAUGUUGGUUUGGCUGCCUCUCAUGCUGAAAGCAAGGUUUCACCUUGCCGACAGGCUGAUGGUUCUCCAAGUGCUGAAGUAAUGGGGCCAGAGGUUAGCCUUCCAGAGGAUAUCAUUUGGAAGAUACAUGCCCUUAUGGCUAUUCAAGAUGCCGCUCGUGCUGCCUGCUUGUCUCAUGAUUUUCUUCACUCUUGGAGAUGCUAUCCCAAGCUCAUAUUUGAUAUGAGAGCACUAGGCAAACAAACAAGGGAUUUUACCAAAUAGUUGACCACAUCAUGCGGAAUCACUCUGGCGUUGGGGUGAAGACAUUUAAAUUGCAAACUCGCGAUGAGUUCACUGUGCAUCCAAGUUAUCUUGAUCGCUGGCUGCAAGUGCAAUUACACCUGGGAUCAAAGAAUUUACGCUAGGGCUCCCCAUAAAUAGCAAGCUGAAAUAUAACUUUCCUGGUUCACUUCUAUCUCCUGAGGCAGCACACUCAAUCCAGUAUUUUCACAUCACUAGCUGUGCUUUUCAUUCUGUAGGCAAAGUUGGUCGCUUGAGUGGUUUGAAGACUCUUUGUCUGCAUGAUGUUGGUAUUACUGGGGAGGAGUUAUAUCUACUUCUGUCCAAUUCCUUCUUGUUAGAGCAUUUGGAUCUCGAGUCCUGCUACGAUAUACAUUGCUUAAAGAUACCACAUUUUUUGUCGAAGCUUAACAUCCUGGAAGUGCAAUGUUGCAAAAUGUUACAGAUGAUUGAAUGCAGUGCUCCAAACCUCUCCACCUUCAAUUAUGAUGGUCCCCUGAUACAUAUCUCGCUUGGAAGUUCAUUGCAAGUGAAGAAAAUGCAAAUGACAUGUGCCAUUGUGCCUAACCUGCUCCAUUAUGCUAGCGCCAAGCUUUCAUCCAUUGCACCAAAUGUCCAAACUCUUUUUUUAACUCACUUUAUGAGACAGUCAAUACACCUAUGGUGCUGGGUAAAUUUCUGCACCUCAAGUAUUUGGAGAUAAAACUUUUCAUGCCAACUCGUUCUCCAGGUUACGACUUCUGUUCUUUGGUUUCUUUUCUUGAUGCUUCUCCCACCUUGAGGACUUUCGUCUUGCGUGUAGAGGCUCCUACCAUGGAAGGUGGUUUAAUUCCUGGAGUCAAUAUGGACGAAGAUUUCUCGUUGGCAAGUUGUGUUCCGAAACACCGACAUCGCAAGCUUAAGAGUGUGUUCAUCACUGGCUUUUGCCCCUGGAAGACAAUGAUUGAGCUAACGAGAUGUAUUCUUGAUUAUGCAACGUCACUGAAGCACCUUACCCUGGACACUACUCGUGGAUAUCAUAGGAGGAGGUGGGGCAACUGUUUCCCUUUGGGUAGGGAUACAAUUAUGGAAGCCCGAAAGGCUAUUGCGGCUAUCAAGACAUACAUAGAGGGGAAAGUACCUCCAAAGAUCAAGUUUAAGGUUCUUGAGCCCUGCAACUGCAAUAAGUGUCAAGAAUGUUGAGUUAUAUUAUCGUAAUAUGGUUAUGUUAUGAAUAUAGCUUAGAGCCCCUAAAAAAAGUGUAAUCUAUUCGAUGACAUCUCUACUACUCCCUCCGAUCCAUAUUACUUGUCUUAGAUUUGUCUAGAUACGGAUGUAUCUAGACACGUCGGAGGGAGUAUUAAAUUGGAGUUGGUCCUUGCAUGUUUGCCUCCACCCCCUCCAGUACGUCUAGGACAUUCCUAGUUUUAACUACAUACAUACACAUAAUGAACUCAAAACAUUUCACAUAUUUACUACUUAUUUUUCC